rnacentral:sRNA from 1 species
GCAUUUCCGGCCUUUGUAGUUUAUCAUUCUUUGGGCUGCGGUUGUCAAGGAUUCAGAGCCGAUGUGAUCUGCGCUAGGUGGCAUCUCUCACGGAUGCCUCGGUCCUGAGCCAUGCUCAUGAACAGGAAGAGUUUGUAAAGGAGAAGGCAACUCCAGGAGCAGCUCAGGAGUCAUCAAAUGACCAAUUCCAAACCUUGGAAGAGCAACUUCGGUAUAAUUUGCGAGAGGUGUGCCCAGUUCAGGAGAUUGAUGGCAAGGCUGGGACUUGGAAUGUGGAGUUAGCCCCAAAGAGGGAGAUUUCUCAGGAAGUGAAAUCUCUUAUACAAGUUCUUGGAAAACAGAAUGGUAAUAUUACUCAGAUUCCUGAGUAUGGAGAUACCUGUGACCGUGAGGGCAGAUUGGAAAAGCAAAGGGUGAGCUCUUCAGUGGAGAGACCC